rnacentral:rRNA from 1 species
AUUGAACGCUGGCGGCAGGCCUAACACAUGCAAGUCGAGCGGAUGAAGGGAGCUUGCUCCUGGAUUCAGCGGCGGACGGGUGAGUAAUGCCUAGGAAUCUGCCUGGUAGUGGGGGAUAACGUCCGGAAACGGGCGCUAAUACCGCAUACGUCCUGAGGGAGAAAGUGGGGGAUCUUCGGACCUCACGCUAUCAGAUGAGCCUAGGUCGGAUUAGCUAGUUGGGGGGGUAAAGGCCUACCAAGGCGACGAUCCGUAACUGGUCUGAGAGGAUGAUCAGUCACACUGGAACUGAGACACGGUCCAGACUCCUGCGGGAGGCAGCAGUGGGGAAUAUUGGACAAUGGGCGAAAGCCUGAUCCAGCCAUGCCGCGUGUGUGAAGAAGGUCUUCGGAUUGUAAAGCACUUUAAGUUGGGAGGAAGGGCAGUAAGUUAAUACCUUGCUGUUUUGACGUUACCAACAGAAUAAGCACCGGCUAACUUCGUG